rnacentral:rRNA from 1 species
AUUGAACGCUGGCGGCAGGCCUAACACAUGCAAGUCGAACGAGUGGCGGACGGGUGCGUAAUUUCUGCGAAACUGCCUGAUGGAGGGGGAUAACUACUGGAAACGGUAGCUAAUACCGCAUACCAUCAGAUCUGCCCAGAUGGGAUUAGCGAGUGGGUGGGGUAACGGCCAACCAAGGCGACGAUCCCUAGCUGGUCUGAGAGGAUGACCAGCCACACUGGAACUGAGACACGGUCCAGACGCCUACGGGAGGCAGCGGUGGGGAAUAUUGCACAAUGGGCGCAAGGCUGAUGCAGCCAUGCCGCGUGUAUGAAGAAGGCCUUCGGGUUGUAAAGUACUUUCAGCGGGGAGGCGUUACCCGCAGAAGAAGCACCGGCUAACUCCGUGCCAGCCGCCGCGGUAAUUC